ensembl:lncRNA
GUCAGUGUGAAAAUGGCUGAUGGCAAGAGAGUUUUACAGUUGUUUUACUCAUUGUGUUUUCUCGUAUUGGGACAGACGGCAUCUCUCUUUUGAUGUGGGCUGAGUGUGAUCCAGUUUCUGACCAUCUUGGUGUUUUGGGGUUAUGUGAGCGAUGGCGAGUUUGCGUGCGGUAAUGUGCGUUAAACAGAGAAAGCUGGAGGCAAUAAAACAAGCGUGUAUCUGCAACCCCCUGCCCACCUUCAGAGAGUUUCUCCUGCUCCGGUGUCACCCACAGUUCAACGUCCGUGGACAGACUGCCAGCCGGCGACCCAAUGGGGACUGGGGCGUAAGGGAGCGGUUUUGCUGAACGGUGCAUUCCAGGACAGAGAAAACACCUCUCUCCCAUCCCCAACACACGCUUUGUAACUGGAAGCCAUAACACAGACAUGAGACUAUGCACACAACAGGAGCUGGUGAGCCACAUGGCUUGAUGUGGCAAGAUUGAUAAGCUGUGAAAGCAUGAAUCAACAGUGAGAAAUGUUAAUGGGGUUAUUACGGCAAUAUGCUGAUCAAUGAGCAUUUUAAGAACUUUUCAUGACUGAUGACGCCAUCACUUAUCACAAGAGAAAUAAUUCAUUAAUGUCACAGGAUAUUUGAUGUUUGGACUCAUUGAAGUCUCAGUUGGCUGACGAGAGUGCCAAGGAUGGGGCCGGUGUCCUAGGGGCCUUUGCCAGGGGUCUCGAGCUGAAAGGGCCUCAGUGGCCAAAAAUCCUAAAAACAAGGACAAUGUAAUAUAGAG